GUGCUCGCUUCGGCAGUACAUGUACUAAAAUUGGAAAGAUACAGAGAAGAUUAGCAGGGCCCCUGUAAAAAAAAAAAAGAAAAGAAAAGAAGCAUUAGUCUUU